rnacentral:rRNA from 1 species
UUAAUUGAAGAGUUUGAUCAUGGCUCAGAUUGAACGCUGGCGGCAGGCCUAACACAUGCAAGUCGAGCGGCAGCACAGAGGAACUUGUUCCUUGGGUGGCGAGCGGCGGACGGGUGAGUAAUGCCUGGGAAAUUGCCCGGUAGAGGGGGAUAACCAUUGGAAACGAUGGCUAAUACCGCAUAACCUCGUAAGAGCAAAGCAGGGGACCUUCGGGCCUUGCGCUACCGGAUAUGCCCAGGUGGGAUUAGCUAGUUGGUGAGGUAAGGGCUCACCAAGGCGACGAUCCCUAGCUGGUCUGAGAGGAUGAUCAGCCACACUGGAACUGAGACACGGUCCA